rnacentral:lncRNA from 1 species
AACUGUUUUUUUCCCAAUGCAAAUUUUUUCCACCUCUAAACAAGUUCACGGGUUUUCUACAACGAGUUAGCGCAUUAGUCAUAACCAUCCAAAAUUCUGGAGAUGUCAGAAAGAAGGAAUACAACUCUAAAAUAUUAUAGCCAUGGCAUAAAUGGGAUCUAACACUGUCAGCUAAAUUGAUACAAUGAUUUCAAAAGAAAAAAGGGAUUUAGCCUAGAGGGCAAAAAGGGGGAUCAUCACCAAGAAUCUGGUGGCAAAAAGUCCCCUCCUAGUUCACGGUUUACAUACUCUGAUUCACAAAGACAUGUAUAACUAGCACUUGUAACUUGUCUAAAAUUCUACCACUUAUUAAUUUCAUCCGAUAAAUGGUCAUUUACAACAAAUAGUAUAUAAAGCCAGAUACCUGCUUUAUAUGAUUUUGCAUAUAUUGAUGUAUGGCGACUUUCAACUCCAAUAAGUUAGAGUAACUACCAACGCAGCUGGUGAACUUUCUACACGUUCCCCAAUUUUGCACUGCCCACAGGAAAACCUAAUCAGCCCGAGUAAAUUCACAAAACGCCAGAGUCCAAAGCUUUGAUUGUUUUGCGUCGCCACAUAGCAGUUCCUGGAUCAAACCUCAGCUCCCAUGUUGGCCAGUAAUGUAAAUCCUGCUUCAAGGUAAGUACUCGAGGCUUCCCGUUCAGGUGGACUGUUCGUACCCGGACAAACUCUCCGUGCUCUAUUGCCUGUCGUAAGUACUCGAGGCUUCCCAUUCAGGUGGACUGUUCGUACCCGGACAAACUCUCCGUGCUCUAUUUUCUGGGAAAAGUUAAAUAGCUAGUAGGCAUAAGAACCAGGACAGUAACAAGAUCUCAACCAAAAACUAUAAGAUCAGUAAGGAUUAUUUUAUGCUGAUAUUCAUAGCUUUCCAUACACAUACAAUGUUUACAAAUCAUCUCAGAAUAACAAGUCAUACCUUCGCCACGUCAACAAAGGCAUCCAAAGUGGGAGUUGGUUUUCCAUUGACUUCAACUAUCCAUUGAAGUGCAUAAAGACCAUAUCGAUGUACUGGACUUCCAUGACACCAUCUGAGAGUUACUUUUGGCAUUAAUAAUAGUGGACAAAUAGCUAAUAGCUAACUCAACAAAAGAUGCCCAACUGCCCCCUCUUUCUUUUAUAUUAGAAGCAUUACCAAAUGCAUGCAUCAUGAAAUCUAGAAAGGCUCAACGAGCCCUUUGUCUUAAACAAAAAAUCCUUGCUACAUGCUGAUCAGUGAUUUCUCUUGCCCAACAAUAGUUUUUCAGCACAUCUAAUAAUUUUACUAACUAGCAACAACUAUUCUCUCUAUCUAGUCCUUUCUCUUUUUAAUAAUAACAAGGAAUAAUUAUAAUAAACUCUAUUUUUUCAGUUGAUAAGUUAUGAGGAAAUUGGUUAACACAAGAAUAUUUCUGGUUUCUUUCAAAUAAAGUCUACCAAUACGUGUAGGAAACUUGAAACUUGAAAAAAAAAUUCAGUCUUAAUUUGGACUUUGCUCUUCAUUUUAACACAAAUGCAUAAAAGAAAUUUAUUUCCUUUUUCAAUUAUUUUGCUGCAAUUUUCUCAAGAAACAUGCUUCCAACUUUCUUAAUCUAAACGAGCCUUCCAGCCUAGCAACUAUUCACCUUGCUACAUAUACUCCGUGUCCUUCCUCGGGAAGAAAUCCAAGUGCACGUACAGCUGGAUGAGGAUCUUGGACAAUAGAACCACACCAAUUUAUAGCACGAGUUGUUCCAUUUC